CAGCCAUAUUGUGUUGAAACACUUGUUCCAGUACAAUCACCAAAGUUAAGCAAUGUUGAGCUUGGUCAGUACCUCAAUGGGUGACCACUUGGAAAUACCAGAUGCUGUAAG